rnacentral:rRNA from 1 species
AUAACAAUUUUUGAAGAACAUAUAUCCCGGCUCUCGCACCGAUGAAGAACGUAGCUAAAUGCGAUACUUGGUGUGAAUUGCAUAAUCUUGUGAACCAUCUAGUCUUUGAACGCAAGUUGCGCCCGAAGCCGUCAGGCCAAGGGCACGUCUGCCUAGGCAUCACGCAUCGCAUCGCCCCCC